rnacentral:rRNA from 1 species
GUCCAUGCCGUAAACGAUGAAUACUAGGUGUUGGAGGGUUUCCGCCCUUCAGUGCCGCAGCUAACGCAUUAAGUAUUCCGCCUGGGGAGUACGACCGCAAGGUUGAAACUCAAAGGAAUUGACGGGGGCCCGCACAAGUGGUGGAGCAUGUGGUUUAAUUCGAUGCUACGCGAAGAACCUUACCAGCUCUUGACAUCUUCUGCCAACCCAAGAGAUUGGGCGUUCCCUUCGGGGACAGAAUGACAGGUGGUGCAUGGUUGUCGUCAGCUCGUGUCGUGAGAUGUUGGGUUAAGUCCCGCAACGAGCGCAACCCUUAUUAUUAGUUGCCAGCAUUUAGUUGGGCACUCUAGUGAGACUGCCGGUGAUAAACCGGAGGAAGGUGGGGACGACGUCAAAUCAUCAUGCCCCUUAUGAGCUGGGCUACACACGUGCUACAAUGGAUGGUACAACGAGUCGCGAAACCGCGAGGUCAAGCUAAUCUCUUAAAGCCAUUCUCAGUUCGGAUUGCAGGCUGCAACUCGCCUGCAUGAAGUUGGAAUCACUAGUAAUCGUGGAUCAGCAUGCCACGGUGAAUACGUUCCCGGGCCUUGUACACACCGCCCGUCACACCAUGAGAGUUUGUAA